UACGUAGGGUCCAAGCGUUAAUCGGAAUUACUAGGCGUAAAGCGUGCGUAGGCGGUCUCGCAAGUCCGAUGUGAAAUCCCCGAGCUUAACUUGGGACUGCGUUGGAAACUAUGAGGCUAGAGUGCGGCAGAGGGGGGUGGAAUUCCAGGUGGUAGCAGGUGAAAUGACGUAGAGAUCUGGAGGAACACCGAUGGCGAAGGCA
rnacentral:rRNA from 1 species